rnacentral:rRNA from 1 species
GACGAACGCUGGCGGCGUGCCUAAUACAUGCAAGUCGAACGCAGUGGGGACGGGUGAGUAACACGUGGGUAACCUCCCAUCAGAGGGGAUAACACUUGGAAACAGGUGCUAAACCGAUAUUGAUGUAUGGACCCGCGGUGCAUUAGCUAGUGGGUGAGGUAACGGCCCACCAAGGCCACGAUGCAUAGCCAACCUGAGGGGGUGUUCGGCCAACCUGGGACUGGGCCCCGGCCCAUACUCCUACGGGAGGCAGCAGUGGGGAACCUUCGGAAAGGGACGAAAGUCUGACCGAGCAACGCCGCGUGAGUGAAGAAGGUUUCCGGAUCGUAAAACUCUGUUGUUAGAGAAGCGGUAUCUAACCAGAAAGCCACGGCUAACUACGUGCCAGCAGCCGCGGUAAUAC